AUAAUAAAAAAAUAGAAGAAGGCUUCGUUACUUUCAUAUGUAUCUUCUACCUGCUGGAAUUCAAACUUUCUUCAUGAGGUACAAAGUUAUACUAACUUAAUAAACUAAAUGGUGGUUAAUUAUAUAUUGCAUGAUAAUAUUAUUUGUUAAAUCCUCUGAAUGACCCUGAGUAUGUAAGUGCAUGUAUACGUGUGUAUGGGUUUGUAUAAUUUAAAUAUAGAAUUCUUAGUUUCUGAACAUUUUCCCCAAAGCCCAAUGCUAUAAUUAACAAUUCUUAAAUUCUCUACACUUUCAAUUUACUGAUUGUGUGUAUAUAUAUAUAUAUAAAAGGUUGAACCUCAACCCUGAGGGCCUUCACCGUCCCGCCCUUAGAGCUUUGUGAGGGAGAUAAAUCGCGGGAUAUGCCCCAACAGGUCAGGGAACAAAAGCUACCUAUACACUGAGCUUACAAGGAGUCCAAAUCCAUAUCUCAGGAAUCGAACCCCUACACUGCAGCUGCCAGCAAGACGUGAGAUAACCUCACUCAUGUCCUUUGUACCAUUGGACUAUGCCCCGAGGGGCUACUGAUUGUGUGUAUAUAGUUGUAUGUAAGUGUGUUUGCACAUUUCCAUGGCUUCUCUAUUUUCUUUCAUUUAUUUUCCAUUAAAACCAUUAGCUCAUAUUGAAUUUAAAACCACUGCCAAUCAAUACUUAAAGCCAAAUUACAUUAAUUUAAUAUUUUAAUUACAUAUCUUGUCAUAUUGGUAAGAGCUCUAUCCGGUGGAUAGUAGGUGGGUCAAGGGCCAGUGAAAUGAAAAAUUUCAAAAGAAAUUAUUUUUAAUUGAUUUCGACAAAUAUUUGAAUACGAUGCAUUUUUAGCAUGACGUGAUGUAAUAUAUUAUUAUUAUCAUACUCAUGACAUGUAUGAUUUUUGUUUACUAAGCAUUAGUUUAUGUAAUUCUUGCAUUGUAGGUGAGCAUAGAGGUUCUAGUUGGCUGUAAAGCUUUUAUGGGAUUUCAGAGUUUAAUGUACAUGGAUGCCGACCUUUAAGGUUAUUUU
rnacentral:lncRNA from 1 species